rnacentral:rRNA from 1 species
AAUCAACGCUGGCGGCGUGCCCAACACAUGCAAGUCGAGCGAGAAAAGGGGAGCAAUCCCCUGAGUACAGCGGCGCACGGGUGAGUAACACGUGGGUAAUCUGCCCUAGAGUGGGGAAUAACACCGGGAAACCGGUGCUAAUACCGCAUACGAUCACAAGAUCUGCGGAUCUUGUGAUGAAAGGAGCAAUUCGCUCUGGGAGGAGCCCGCGGCUGAUUAGCUAGUUGGUGAGGUAACGGCUCACCAAGGCCACGAUCAGUAUCCGGUCUGAGAGGACGGUCGGACACACUGGAACUGAGACACGGUCCAGACUCCUACGGGAGGCAGCAGUGGGGAAUUUUUGGCAAUGGGGGCAACCCUGUCCAAGCAACGCCGCGUGGGUGAUGAAGUCUCUUGGGACGUAAAACCCUUUCGACGGGGACGAAACCGCAAGGUUGACGGUACCCGUAGAGGAAGCCCCGGCUAACUCCGUGCCAGCAGCCGCCGUAAAAC